UACGUAGGGUCCGAGCGUUGUCCGGAAUUAUUGGGCGUAAAGAGCUCGUAGGCGGUUUGUCGCGUCUGCUGUGAAAUCCCGAGGCUCAACCUCGGGCCUGCAGUGGGUACGGGCAGACUGGAGUGCGGUAGGGGAGAAUGGAAUCCCUGGUGUAGCGGUGGAAUGCGCAGAUAUCAGGAGGAACACCGAUGGCGAAGGCAGUUCUCUGGGCCGUAACUGACGCUGAGGAGCGAAAGCGUGGGGAGCGAACAGG
rnacentral:rRNA from 1 species